GAACUUUCCAGAGAUGGAUUGGUGCCUUCGGGAACUUAGAUACAGGUGCUGCAUGGCUGUCGUCAGCUCGUGUCGUGAGAUGUUGGGUUAAGUCCCGNAACGAGCGCAACCCUUUUCCUAUUUGCCAGCGGGUCAUGCCGGGAACUUUAAGGAUACUGCCAGUGACAAACUGGAGGAAGGCGGGGACGACGUCAAGUCAUCAUGGCCCUUACGGCCAGGGCUACACACGUGCUACAAUGGUCGGUACAAAGGGUUGCUACCUCGCGAGAGGAUGCUAAUCUCAAAAAGCCGAUCGUAGUCCGGAUCGCAGUCUGCAACUCGACUGCGUGAAGUCGGAAUCGCUAGUAAUCGCGGAUCAGAAUGCCGCGGUGAAUACGUUCCCGGGCCUUGUACACACCGCCCGUCACACCAUGGGAGUUUGUUGCACCAGAAGUAGGUAGUCUAACCGCAAGGAGGACGCUUACCACGGUGUGGCCGAUGACUGGGGUGAAGUCGUAACAAGGUAAGCGUAGAUGA
rnacentral:rRNA from 1 species